GCCUGGGUGGCUCAGUCGGUUGAGCAUCUGACUUCAGCUCAGGUCAUGGUCUUGCAGUUCAUGAGUUUGAGUCCCGCAUCGGGCU
rnacentral:tRNA from 1 species